AAGUAUAUCAGAGUAUCAUAAGGAAUCAUUUCAUUGACUUCCCCAUCCCCAGGAACUGUUUGACUCUAUUCUAGUUUUUUGGCUAUCCAGACCCUGGUUCCUGGCCCUCCAGACAGUGUCAAACAUGGGCGUUCUUUUGUGGUGUGGGUCUCAGGCUGGACUAGUCAUUGGUUUCACACUCCCACAUGUUCUGUGCCACCUUUACUCCAGCACAUCUUGCAGGUAGGAAAAAUUGUAGGUGGAAGGAUUUUGUGGCUGUGUUGGUAUGGUGGUAUUUUAUUUGUACUGAAAUGUGAUUUUUAAUCGUAUGUUAAUAAAUAAAGUUGCCCGGGGGUCAGAGCUAUUAGAGCCAUAGAAAAAGCUGGGCGGUGGUGGUGCAUGCCUUUAAUCCCAGAACUUGGUAGGCAGAGCUAGGUAGAUCUCUGUGUAUUCAAGGAUACAGCCAACAGACAGUGACGAGGCAGUCAUGUGGUUGGUUUUACAACCAAUGAGAAGACAGAACAGAAAGUCUAUAUAAAGACAAACAGACAGGAAGUAGGUCUCUUUCGGAGAGGUCUCUUGGCUGAAGAGGCUAGCUGCAGCAGGCGGGUAAGGCUCUUAGCUCUGAUCUCUUGGCUUUCUUCUUUGCAUUGGUUCUGUGUUUCUUAUUUUAAUAAGAUGGUUGGUUACAUCUACAUGUUGGUGUCCCAGUCCCUCCACUGGAAGCCUUGCCUAGUUACAGAAGAUGGCAGGUUCAGACUCUAACCCCCAUUACUAGGAGUUUUCACUCCUGUAGAUUCCUGGGAGUUCCCAUUGCACUAGGGUUCUGCCGCAUUCCCGAUAUGCCCCUCACUUCCAUGCAUUUCUCACAGUCCUCUCUCUCUGCACUCCCCCACCUGUUCCCUCCCGUUCCCAUCCCACCUUCCCCCAGUCUACCCACAAAAUCUAUUCCUUUCCCCCUUUCCAGGGAGAUCUAUUCACCUCCUAUUGUUUCCUCCUUGUUACCUAGCCUCUCUGGAGCUGUGGAUUGUAGCAUGGUUAUUUUUUACUUUACAGCUAAUAUCCACUUAUAAGUGACUACAUACCACGCUUAUCUUUCGGGGUCUGAGUUACCACACUCUGGAUGACUUUUCCUAGUUCCAUCCAUUUGCUUGCAAAUUUCAUGAUGUUAUUUCUUUUAACAGCAAAGUAAUUGAAAAAUGGAUAAUGAAAAUGAGGUACAGUUACACAAUGGUCAUGGAUAUUAUUUAUAACUGAGGUAUUCCUGUCCUAGGAAUACCAUCUCAGACUUCUAUCUAGCCUCCUCUUUCAGCAGGUCCCUCCUCAGCUAACAGUAUUUUCUUUUAUAAUGCAAUCUGAACUGUUUCUAAUUGAAUCCCUCUUUCUUCUUCUCAGACAUUUAUCACUGUGGGCCAUGUCUUCACAGACUCUUCAGGGCAAUGUCUCACAAACAGGAAGGGUUAUAGUUGCCUCCCACUCAUCUGUCUCUGCAUGUGGUGCUCACCAUUUACCUGUUGUGAUCUAAAGAUCUGGAAGGAAAAAAACUCCAUGGAUGUGAUUCCCCCUCUUCAUGGCAAUGUCUCAUCUCCCUCUGCAGCUGCUGUCCUCAGCCCUGCCUCCUGUCAUGGCCUGAAUAUGAAGAAACACAGGAGGAAGAGGUGUUUUCAUGGUACUGGAGUGAAUUCCACAAUUUAGGCCAUUAGUCACAAAAAAAUGUGGCUGAUCUAUGGGAAGAUACGAUGCAUUACAUUGAUGCCUAACAUUCUUAAGUAAUGUGAAAUCCCCUUGCUGAUAAUUGUGGAACCCAGUGCCCCUCUUUGUUCCUUGGAAAGAGAUAAGACACCAGCUGGUGGACUGAUAGCAAUAAAGAACUGAAUUAGAGGAAGUGGAGAUUGUCAUUAAGACAUACAAGUGGAUGAAACUGUGAAUGGUGUUAUCCUAACAGGAAAACUUGAGGGAGCCUUUUUCUAUUCUACUGUCUAUACAGAGAUGAUGCUACGCACGAGGAAAG